rnacentral:rRNA from 1 species
AUUGAACGCUGGCGGCAUGCCUUACACAUGCAAGUCGAACGGAUUUUGGGGCUUGCUCCAAAGUUAGUGGCGAACGGGUGAGUAAAGCAUCGGAACGUACCCAGUCGUGGGGGAUAACGUAGCGAAAGUUACGCUAAUACCGCAUACGAUCUGAGGAUGAAAGCGGGGGACCUUCGGGCCUCGCGCGAUUGGAGCGGCCGAUGUCGGAUUAGCUAGUUGGUGAGGUAAAGGCUCACCAAGGCGACGAUCCGUAGCUGGUCUGAGAGGACGACCAGCCACACUGGGACUGAGACACGGCCCAGACUCCUACGGGAGGCAGCAGUGGGGAAUUUUGGACAAUGGGCGAAAGCCUGGUCCAGCCAUGCCGCGUGAGUGAAGAAGGCCUUCGGGUUGUAAAGCUCUUUCAGACGGAAAGAAAUCUCUCGGGUGAAUAUCCCGGGAGGAUGACGGUACCGUAAGAAGAAGGACCGGCCAACUACGUGCCAGCCGCCGCCGUAA